UACGUAGGGUGCAAGCGUUGUCCGGAAUUAUUGGGCGUAAAGAGCUCGUAGGCGGUUUGUCGCGUCUGCUGUGAAAACUCGAGCUCAACCUCGAGACGCCGAUGGAAACCCUCCAGCUAGAGUCCGGAAGAGGAGAGUGGAAUUCCUGGUGUAGCGGUGAAAUGCGCAGAUAUCAGGAAGAACACCGGUGGCGAAGGCGGCCUGCUGGGCAGUAGCUGACACUGAGGCGCGACAGCGUGGGGAGCAAACAGG
rnacentral:rRNA from 1 species